UACGGGGGGGGCAAGCGUUGUUCGGAAUUACUGGGCGUAAAGGGCUCGUAGGUGGCCAACUAAGUCAGACGUGAAAUCCCUCAGCUUAACUGGGGAACUGCGUCUGAUACUGGAUGGCUUGAGUUUGGGAGAGGGACGCGGAAUUCCAGGUGUAGCGGUGAAAUGCGUAGAUAUCUGAAGGAACAUCAGUGGCGAAAGCGACUUCCUGGACCAAUACUGACGCUCAUGUGCGAAAGCGUGGGGAGCAAACAGG
rnacentral:rRNA from 1 species